AAGCCUCCCUCCCUGCCCAGUCCAGGCAUGUUCCCCAGUUCCCUGCAGAAGGCACUCUGUUGGAGAAGGCCACACCUUGGUUUACUUGUGUUCCAGGACAGCUGGACCUAAGAGAGUGAGACCUCUUGCCCGAAUAACCUGGAAUUUAAAGAAAGGCUUGAUCAUUAAGAAGACCCAGCCAGGGAGUCCAGUACCUUGGCGUUAGUCCAUCCCCUUAUGGGCAGUGUUCUGGGAGGUGAUACUGAACAGAGACUCCAGAGCCAGGUGUACACCUGCCAGGUGAAGACAAAAUUGAAGAUAAGCAGCUCCCCACUUCUCCUGCAGAACCAGAGAAACAGGCAUGGAACCAGGAAACAGACCACAAUGACUUUGAGACACUGUCCCAC